rnacentral:rRNA from 1 species
CCUACGGGAGGCAGCAGUGAGGAAUAUUGGUCAAUGGGCGAGAGCCUGAACCAGCCAAGUCGCGUGAAGGAUGAAGGAUCUAUGGUUUGUAAACUUCUUUUAUAUGGGAAUAAAGUGAGGAACGUGUUCCUUUUUGUAUGUACCAUAUGAAUAAGCAUCGGCUAACUCCGUGCCAGCAGCCGCGGUAAUACGGAGGAUGCGAGCGUUAUCCGGAUUUAUUGGGUUUAAAGGGUGCGUAGGCGGAGUGUCAAGUCAGCGGUAAAAUUUCGGGGCUCAACCCCGUCGUGCCGUUGAAACUGACGCCCUUGAGUGAGUGAGAAGUAAGCGGAAUGCGUGGUGUAGCGGUGAAAUGCAUAGAUAUCACGCAGAACGCCGAUUGCGAAGGCAGCUUACCGGCGCUCAACUGACGCUGAGGCACGAAAGUGCGGGUAUCGAACAGGAUUAGAUACCCUAGUAGUC